UAGUCUCUAGAAGUGUUUUCCGUGCUGGCCCAUGUGUGAGUCUGUUGGAACACAGCGUCAUAGAGGGUGACAACCCCGUUCAUAACAUGGACCCCAGUGCUUUGUGAUACACUCUCGACGAGUCGAGUUGUUUGGGAAUGCAGCUCAAAUUGGGUGGUAAAUUCCAUCUAAAGCUAAAUAUUGGCGAGAGACCGAUAGCAAACAAGUACCGUGAGGGAAAGAUGAAAAGCACUUUGGAAAGAGAGUUAACAGUACGUGAAAUUGCUAAAAGGGAAACGAUUGAAGUCAGACGUGCGUGGUGCGGUUCAGCUCUGGUUCGCCAGAGUGUAUUCCGUGCCUUUGCAGGCCAACAUCGGUUUCACGAGGCGGAUAAAGGUUUGAGAAAUGUGGCACCUUCGGGUGUGUUAUAGUCUCUUGCUGAAUACGCCUCGAGGGACCGA
rnacentral:rRNA from 1 species